GUCCUAGCUGUAAACGGUGCACGCUUGCUGUAGGUGGAAUCGACCCCGCCUGUAGCGAAGCUAACGCGUUAAGCGUGCCGCCUGGGAAGUACGGUCGCAAGAUUAAAACUCAAAGAAAUUGACGGGGGCCUGCACAAGCGGUGGAGUAUGUGGCUCAAUUCGAUGCAACGCGAAGAACCUUACCUGGCCUUGACAUGCAAGUAGUAGAAGCCUGAAAGGGUGACGAUUCCGCAAGGAAAGCUUGCACAGGUGCUGCAUGGCUGUCGU
rnacentral:rRNA from 1 species